rnacentral:misc_RNA from 1 species
AACGCACAUUGCGCCUUUUGGUAUUCCAGGAGGCAUACCUGUUCGAGCGCUGGUAACAAUUCAAGCUCUGCUUGGUGUUGAUUGCAGUCGGAAUGACUCAACUCAAAACUCUUUGGCGCUUUUGUCGGUUUGCAAACGGCUUGACAAGUCAUUUUGCGGUUUGGAUACUGACAAGGCUGCCUGUUUUUUGCAACAUGGCCUCGAAUCAGGUAAGGCUACCCGCUGAACUUAA